rnacentral:rRNA from 1 species
AUUGAACGCUGGCGGAAUGCUUUACACAUGCAAGUCGAACGGCAGCACGGACUUCGGUCUGGUGGCGAGUGGCGAACGGGUGAGUAAUACAUCGGAACGUGCCCAAUCGUGGGGGAUAACGUAGCGUAAGCUACGCUAAUACCGCAUACGAUCUAAGGAUGAAAGCGGGGGAUCGCAAGACCUCGCGCGAUUGGCGCGGCCGAUGGCAGAUGAGGCAGUUGGUAGGGUAAAGGCCUACCAAGCCGACGAUCUGUGGCUGGUUUGAGAGGAUGAUCAGCCACACUGGGACGGGGACACGGGCCAGACUCCUACGGGAGCCAGCAGUGGGGAAUUUUGGACAAUGGCCGCAAGUCUGAUCCAGCCAUUCCGCGUGCAUGAUGAAGGCCCUCGGGUUGUAAACUGCUUUUGUACAGAACGAAAAGGCUCUGGUUAAUACCUAGGGCUCAUGACGUUACUGUAAGAAUAAGCACCGGCUAACUACGUGCCAGCCGCCGCCGUAA